UACGAAAGCGGUUCGCGGUGUUCGGAAUUCCUGGGCGUAAAGCGCACGUAGGCGGCCUUGUAAGAUGGGGGUGAAAUCCCCGGGCUCAACCCGGGAACUGCCUUCAUGACUGCAAAGCUAGAGGAUGCGAGAGGUUAGCGGAAUUCCGAGUGUAGAGGUGAAAUUCGUAGAUAUUCGGAAGAACACCAGUGGCGAAGGCGGCUAACUGGCGCAUUUUUGACGCUGAGGUGCGAAAGCGUGGGGAGCAAACAGG
rnacentral:rRNA from 1 species